rnacentral:misc_RNA from 1 species
AAUUCUCAAUCUCUACAGCUUUUGUUGUUUAGUAGAUUGGAUGUGGAGGUUCUUUGUGUGGGAUGAAAAUCCCUCACUCCUCUUAAACAUAUUAGCUGGAAUGCCUCUGCAUAUCUGACUAUCAGUGUGAUAAUUAUCUAUGCUGUAGUUGUUGCAUGAGGGUAUCUGCUUCAUUAACCGUCGCCAGACAACUCUAAUGACCA